rnacentral:rRNA from 1 species
UACGUAGGGCGCAAGCGUUAUCCGGAAUUAUUGGGCGUAAAGAGCUCGUAGGCGGUUUGUCGCGUCUGCCGUGAAAUUUCGAGGCUCAACCUCGAACUUGCGGUGGGUACGGGCAGACUAGAGUGUGGUAGGGGAGACUGGAAUUCCUGGUGUAGCGGUGAAAUGCGCAGAUAUCAGGAGGAACACCGAUGGCGAAGGCAGGUCUCUGGGCAUUAACUGACGCUGAGGAGCGAAAGCAUGGGGAGCGAACAGG